GUAUCCCAAAAUAACACAGCAGGUACAAGAAGCACACUAUCAACAUCAAGAAGGAGAAGACUGUCAACACCAAGAAGGCCUAGAAGAAGUACAGCAAUCAGGAGUGGAACACAGGAGCAGGAAAAUAAUGCUGAGUUAAAUCAAUCAAGCAUCAUUGAUGAAACAGAAGAAACACCCCCGGUAUCCCAAAAUAACUCAGCAGGUACAAGAAGUACAUUAUCAACACCAAGAAGGAGAAGACUGUCAACACCAAGAAGGCCUAGAAGAAGUACAGCUAUCAGGAGUGGAACACAGGAGCAGGAAAAUAAUGCUGAGUUAAAUCAAUCAAGCAUCAUUGAUGUAACAGAUGAAACACCCCGGUAAGUGUUAAUUUAGCAAGAUUAUUAUUAGGUCAUAUUUUAC